rnacentral:lncRNA from 1 species
UCUCUCUCUCUCUCUCUCUCUCUCUCUCUCUCUCUCUCUCUCUCUCUCUCUCUCUCUAUAUAUAUAUAUAUAUAAUUGAGCUAGAAUAUUUUUAAAAGUAUCAAUCCCUUGGUGCUUUUGAGAGUAUUCUAGCUCAACUCUCUCUCUCUCUCUCUCUCUCUCUCUCUCUCUCUCUAUAUAUAUAUAUAUAUAUAUAUAAACCUAUAUGAUGCGAGAAUAAUUCUUGCCACGUGUCAAAUUAUCGUUCAUUCUUAUAGCCCUCUUUAAAUUAAAUCACUUUUUUAUCUAUAAUUUUUAACUUUUACCAUAUUUUGAAAGAACAAAAUGAGAAAUUUAAUGAUUAGUAACUGAUAUGGAUAUACAAUCACAAUAAUAACUAUAGUUUAAUAUAUAAUUAAUACAUAUAAUUAAUCUAAUGUUGUCAUAUAUAU